rnacentral:tRNA from 1 species
AUAAAAGUAGUUUAUAAAAACACUGAUCUGUGAAUUCAGAAAUGCUUUACGCCUUUUAUC